CAGCUUUGCCACUUUGUCACCAUGUGCAUCUUCACCUGCACUGGCCAGCACUCCUCCGUCCACCUGGGCCAGCUGGAUUGGUAUGCUUGGGUCCCUAACGCACCCUGCACAAUGCGGCUGCCCCCA